ensembl:lncRNA
CCUUGAUGCAAAGCGCUGACUCAUCAGAAAAGCCCCUGAUGCUGGAAAGACUGAGGGCAGGAGACGGCAGCGACAGAGGGUCACGUUCAACACGGGUCUCACUGGGCUGCUGGUCAGUGGGGCCCAUCUUGUUCUUCCUGAAGGCUCUGCGGAGAAGCCGAGUCCUGCCUCUUCCAGGACUGAUGUUGAAGCUGAAGCUCGACUACUCUGGCCACUUGAUGCGGAGAGCCAAGUCACUGGAAAUGACCCUGAUGCUGGGAAAGAUUGAAGGCAGGAGGAGAAGGGGCCGACAGAGGACGAGAUGGUUGGAUGGCAUCCCCAACUCAAUGGACGUGAGUUCGAGCAAGUUCUGGGACAGCGUGAAGGACAAGGAAGCCCGGCAUGCUGCAGUCCAUGAGGUCACAGAGUCGGACACGACCAAGUGACUGGACACCAGCCACAGGGCCCCACGCCCUGCAGCGCCAUGACCCUGCCUCUGUCUUCAAAGCCGGCAGCGCUGCCUCACUGUGACCUUCCUCCAAGGUCACAUCUCCCUCUGUCUGCCCUGGCAGGGACCUGGAGCCUAGAUGGGUCUGGAUGGGGCUUGACCAAGUUACUUGUCCCUCUGGGCACUCUGCACCCUCCAAGCAGUCGUGACCUGGGCACCUCGAACCUCUGUGUCUUUCUCAGGAUAAAGGGGACGUCCCCCGGGGUUAGGAGGCGGCUGAGCUCGGGGAUCCUGUCUUCGAUUUACAAGAUUCAUUCAUUCCACAGACACUCCGGGGGCGCCUGCCUGUGCCAGUGCCAAGCUGGGUGCCAGGGCACAGUCUGCCCUCACAGGUGGAACCGGUGAGCGACAGGCAUCAACCCUCGGUGAGAGCUGAGUCCUGUGGGCACACUUGGCGUGCGUCCUCUGUUCGCCCAUCCGCAUGGCGGGUGCCCCUGGGGGCCUCCUCUGUCCCGGGCACGGUGAACGCCGCAGCAAGUGAGACACAAGUCCAGUGGAGCGCAGCUCCUCUGAUGAAGACGGGUGAUGAUGACAGGCCUUCUCCUAGGUUGCCUUUCCACCCCAGCCACGGGUUCAUCGGUGCCUGGGCGGGACAUGAAAAACCCGGGGCCAACUUAACUGCCUGAUUAGUUCUGGAGGGUACAAC